CGCCGGAAGACCAAGGUUUCCUAUCCCAUGCUAAUCAGGGUAGGGUAAGUCGGCCCCUAAGGCGAGGCGGAAACGCGUAGUCGAUGGGAAACAGGUUAAUAUUCCUGUACCGACAUGUACUGCGAUGGGGGGACGGAGAAGGCUAGGUGGGCCAGGCGUUGGUAGUCCUGGUGAAAGUUAGUAGGCUGAGGGUUUAGGCAAAUCCGGACCCUUAAGGCCGAGAAACGAGACGAGUACCUACGGGUACGAAGCCAUUGAUGCCCUGCUUCCGGGAAAAGCCUCUAAGCUUCAGGUACAUGUUGACCGUACCCGAAACCGACACAGGUGGUCAGGUAGAGAAUACUAAGGCGCUUGAGAGAACUCGGGUGAAGGAACUAGGCAAAAUAGUACCGUAACUUCGGGAGAAGGUACGCCACCUUUGGUGAAGACUUCGCGUCGUAAGCUGAAGGUGGUCGCAGUGACCAGGUGGCUGGGACUGUUUAUUAAAAACACAGCACUCUGCUAACUCGAAAGAGGACGUAUAGGGUGUGACACCUGCCCGGUGCCGGAAGGUUAAUUGAUGGGGUUAGCGUAAGCGAAGCUCUUGAUCGAAGCCCCGGUAAACGGCGGCCGUAACUAUAACGGUCCUAAGGUAGCGAAAUUCCUUGUCGGGUAAGUUCCGACCUGCACGAAUGGUGUAACCAUGGCCACGCUGUCUCCACCCGAGACUCAGUGAAAUUGAAAUCGCUGUGAAGAUGCAGUGUACCCGCGGCUAGACGGAAAGACCCCGUGAACCUUUACUACAGCUUGGCACUGAACAUUGAACCUACAUGUGUAGGAUAGGUGGGAGGCUUAGAAGCACUGGCGCUAGUUGGUGUGGAGCCAUCCUUGAAAUACCACCCUUGUAUGUUUGAUGUUCUAACCUAGCACCCUUAUCGGGUGUGGGGACAGUGCCUGGUGGGUAGUUUGACUGGGGCGGUCUCCUCCCAAAGAGUAACGGAGGAGCACGAAGGUUGGCUAAGUACGGUCGGACAUCGUACGGUUAGUGUAAUGGCAGAAGCCAGCUUAACUGCGAGACAGACACGUCGAGCAGAUACGAAAGUAGGUCAUAGUGAUCCGGUGGUUCUGAAUGGAAGGGCCAUCGCUCAACGGAUAAAAGGUACUCCGGGGAUAACAGGCUGAUACCGCCCAAGAGUUCAUAUCGACGGCGGUGUUUGGCACCUCGAUGUCGGCUCAUCACAUCCUGGGGCUGAAGUCGGUCCCAAGGGUAUGGCUGUUCGCCAUUUAAAGUGGUACGCGAGCUGGGUUUAGAACGUCGUGAGACAGUUCGGUCCCUAUCUGCCGUGGGCGUUUGAGAGUUGAGAGGAGCUGCUCCUAGUACGAGAGGACCGGAGUGGACGAACCUCUGGUGUUCCGGUUGUCACGCCAGUGGCACUGCCGGGUAGCUAAGUUCGGAAUCGAUAACCGCUGAAAGCAUCUAAGCGGGAAGCGAGCCUCGAGAUAAGCUCUCACUAGCACAUUAAGUGCUCUGAAGGGUCGUUGCAGACGACGACGUUGAUAGGCGGGGUGUGGAAGCGUUGUAAGGCGUUGAGCUAACCCGUACUAAUUGCCC
rnacentral:ncRNA from 1 species